CAAAGUAUUUUUUUUACCCCUAAGUAUUUAAAGUUAUGUACUUGAAAUUUGAAGAAUUUGGCGGUGAUUUAGUCUUGUCAGAGGAACCUGUUUUUGAAUCGAUACACCACGAAGAAUCUUACUUAAGCUUGUAAGGGCAGUAUGUAUACCAUCAUUAUUAGGUAAUUUUUAUAGAAUAAAUUACUGAACGAUAAUUAUUAACAAUAUUAAAUAUAUUAGAUCAAGGUGCAGCUAAUGCUUAAGUUAAAAUGGGUUACAAUAAAAAUUUAUUUAAUACGGAAUAUUAAUUCAAAUAAUUAAUUAGAAGGAGGAUUUGAUUGUAAAUUAAAUUUAAUAUGUUUAGUUAGAUAUAAGCU
rnacentral:rRNA from 1 species